UGAAGUGGUAAGCAGAUUUGUUUUCUUUUUCUUGAUAUUUGGGGUUCAGGGGCAAAAAUUGAGAUUUAUUUUCAGACUAUUAAUUAUCUUUUGUUGACCCUUCACGUAAAAAUUUUUGUUUAGCACAACCCUUGCCCUGCAUGGAAAAGGGUAAAGAGGUGGAGAACCCCCUUUUAUUACCUGUUACAUGCUUUUGCGCCACUAUUUAUGUUAGUGAUGAUCCAC
rnacentral:misc_RNA from 1 species